GAUGAACGCUGGCGGCGUGCCUAAUACAUGCAAGUCGAGCGAACGGACGAGAAGCUUGCUUCUCUGAUGUUAGCGGCGGACGGGUGAGUAACACGUGGAUAACCUACCUAUAAGACUGGGAUAACUUCGGGAAACCGGAGCUAAUACCGGAUAAUAUUUUGAACCGCAUGGUUCAAAAGUGAAAGACGGUCUUGCUGUCACUUAUAGAUGGAUCCGCGCUGCAUUAGCUAGUUGGUAAGGUAACGGCUUACCAAGGCAACGAUGCAUAGCCGACCUGAGAGGGUGAUCGGCCACACUGGAACUGAGACACGGUCCAGACUCCUACGGGAGGCAGCAGUAGGGAAUCUUCCGCAAUGGGCGAAAGCCUGACGGAGCAACGCCGCGUGAGUGAUGAAGGUCUUCGGAUCGUAAAACUGUGUUAUUAGGGAAGAACAUAUGUGUAAGUAACUGUGCACAUCUUGGCGGUACCUAAUCAGAAAGCCACGGCUAACUACGUG
rnacentral:rRNA from 1 species